rnacentral:rRNA from 1 species
AUUGAACGCUGGCGGAAUGCUUUACACAUGCAAGUCGAACGGCAGCACGGACUUCGGUCUGGUGGCGAGUGGCGAACGGGUGAGUAAUGUAUCGGAACGUGCCCAGUCGUGGGGGAUAACGUAGUGAAAAUUACGCUAAUACCGCAUACGAUCUAUGGAUGAAAGCGGGGGAUCGCAAGACCCCGCGCGAUUGGAGCGGCCGAUAUCAGAUUAGGUAGUUGGUGGGGUAAAGGCCCACCAAGCCAACGAUCUGUAGCUGGUCUGAGAGGACGACCAGCCACACUGGAACUGAGACACGGUCCAGACUCCUACGGGAGGCAGCAGUGGGGAAUUUUGGACAAUGGGCGAAAGCCUGAUCCAGCCAUUCCGCGUGCAGGAUGAAGGCCCUCGGGUUGUAAACUGCUUUUGUACAGGACGAAAAGGUUUCUACUAAUACUAGGAGCUCAUGACGGUACUGUAAGAAUAAGCACCGGCUAACUACGUGCCAGCAGCCGCCGUAA